GAAAAAAACUUGAUGAGUUACAAAACUCACAAGAGUGACUAUAACAAUGAAGCAUAUGUGAUAGGCAAUUUGAUCUCAAUUUUACCAAUAAUAGAAGCAUCAUUUUCACAAUUUGUUGGCUCAAUUACACAACCUACGUAGUGCGCAUGUUGAGCAACUAAGGAGCUAACUACAUUCUUCGGUAGUUGAUUGCUAAUGCGGGCGUGCCAACUCACUACUGAAUUCAAUUGGGCAAGUGUCUUGAAUAUGAUGAAUGCGGUGAAAUGCACUUUUGACUCCUGAACCCAACGACUUUGGCCGAGGAUGGAACACUCUAGGCCUUGGGUUCUAUAACCUAAAGACAAGAUUAUGCAACUCACUACGAACUUCUGGAUCUUGUGCAUUAGGUUUGGCAGCCUCAACUAUAUUGGUAAGAAUAUAAGUUCGCGGAACUCGUAUCAACUAUAGGGAGAAAGAUACUCAAAGAAAACGAGUGCCUUGAGAGUGUUCGGCCAUCAGUAUGCUGAACUUUGAAUGUGACUUGAGAGUAUCCAAUCAUAAAACACGCCACUUUGCCAAGAAGGCUAACAAAGUGGCCUCUUUUAGUGAGAGAACCAAAGACUCUUCACCUGCAGAGACUCAAGUUAGCUAACCAGUUGAACUUGAUAUAUUUGCCGCUUAACCAAGCAGUCAAUAUUCUUGAACCGAACUUAUUCAACGACCCUGUCGAUGCCUAACGACCAUGCCGCCUUUGCUAGUUGCCUCUAGAAAACUUCAUCUAAUCAAGCAAUUGUCGACUGUCAACCCAAAUCUAUCUAACCAAACUGUGUUGGUACUAAAAGUUAGUAGAACAAUCAGUAUAAUUUUUCUCAAAAAGAGAGAGGAUUCAUGUAGAGCGUCGAUCGGUGUGUGGAGUUGAAGGUCUUCUCUACGUUGCAAACCCUCUUGUAUUUAUAGGGAUAAUUUACUUGAUGUGCAAGUCUACCAAGUUGUAGAAUUCUAAAUUCCUCAGCAAUAUCUGAAUGCACUUGAAAUUAUCCUGACAAGUCCUUUUUCUGUUGAAACUCUAUCAUCAUCUAGUCUUGCCCUCUUUAACCUGAACUAGGUCUCUAAACCUAAUCCCUUUCUGUAGUUAAUUCAAUUUUAUCCAGUCAUACUUUUUAGGGAGCUUUAAUGAAAAAGGCUUGAGUGAAGUUUAAUUUAACCAAAAACCGUCCUGUAUUAUUAUUUAACCAAAAGUACUUUAUAUUUAAUCAUAAAGGACAUAACUAAUUUAUAUAAGGUCCUACAAACAUUAAAACUACAUGGGCUGAAUUAAAAGCCCAAAACGGAAUAUUUUUCUUUCCAGCCCUUGCCCCUAACAUAAACCUCAUUCCGUCAGCCGAUCCCGUUAAAAAAGUUGUACAAUAUUUCAAGCGAACAAGAAGGACCAAAUAUUUCAGUUACUUGAUUAAAUCCCACCCAGCUCUAAACACCUCACUCGCGGUCACGGUCUCCCACCUCGCUCGAUUUGCCCUGAUUUGGAUAGAGAAACAAUCCCCUGAAUCUCACAGUGGAUCUCGCCUGCUUGUUCCAGAUAUGGAUUUCUUUAUGAACUGCAUAUGGGAUUAUUCUGUUGAUUUGAGCUUCGAAAGACUGAAAAUCCCAGAAGGAUUCAUGAGACACAUGGAAGGCAGUGCGUGGAGUGUUGAAUUGAUUCAAUAGAAUGUUGGUUUGUUCUUGCAUCAUGGGUGGUCGACAUUUGCGAGAGACCAAUACGCAUUUGUGAGAGACCAUUAUGUGGAAUGCGGGGACUUCUUGAUUUUUAGAUACGAUGGUGAUUUGCGUUUUCAUUGUGCUAAUUUUUUAAUCAAAGUGCGUGUGAGAAAAAGGCUGCAUUUCGUUUUGGAUACAACCAAAGCCUCUAGCAACUUUGAAAAAUAUAUGUAUAUGGAACGAAAAUGGGGAAGGGAUGAGAAAUGGCUUGUUCAAUUCCA